CUCCUGGCUGCCCCUUCCCCUCAAAUUGGAAUAAGGCCAGCUACGGAGACUCAGAUGUUUUGCCUCUCAUCCUUGUGCCAGGAGGCCUUUGUUUGGGCAAAAGCAUGGGCUGUUGACAUCAGCCCCACGGGGAAGAAAGUGUGUCUUAGCAAGCUACUCCUGAGCCACUUGUGGGAGAACAAAGCAUUGUUUUCACUGAUCUUAUUAAAGUUACUUUUUUUUUAACGAGAGUCCCAUGGAAGUAGCUGCUUAUUUUUGUAUUUGGCAGAGAAGUAGGAAAACCAAAAAAACACUGAGAAGCCGGAUUUCCCCAAAGUUAACAUGUUGUUUUGCACUGUGCCUGUUAUCUCCUAGUUACACUUGUUUCUUUUCCUUAGAGUUUCCAGCGUGUUUCACUUUCAAUGUGAUUCUGGUAGCAACAGGAGGCAGCUGGAUGCCUAGGCAGAUAGGGUCAGGUACCCGGUGAAACCCCCACCUCCAGGCCAAAGACAGUUUAAAGCCUGAAAGCCAAGCUACGAGUUAAAUCCUCAGACCAGAGUGAGAACUUGUUUGGCGUGCUUUCCCCUAAUUGAUUCCUACAUUUCGCCUGUUUUACAUAUACCCACUUUUUCCUAAUUGGUUUUCUACGCUGCCGUGCCCACCUUUGAGUGGUGUCUUUGCUUUCAUCUUUUUUGCAUACUCACAAACCGGUCAGCAUGCACUCCCUAUUCUGAGUCCAUAAAAGGCCCCUGACCCAGCCACAUUGGGGAACUUUUCCGUCUUCAGGUAGGGGACCAACCCGGUGUCCCCUCUCUGCUGAAAGCUGUUUUCAACACUCAAUAAAAUUCUUAUCUGCCUUCCUCUCCCUUCAAUGUCCAGUGUAUCCUCAUUAUCCUUUGGUGUGGUGCACGAGCUCGGAACCACCGAACGCGGGUACAAGCUAUAAUACAGUGAGCUGGGACACACCUGCAUGGCCGAGCGAGCACAGGUGGGGCAUUGCUGGCCCGAGGACCAAGAAGAAAAAUCCUACAUCAAUUCCUCUUGGCACUGCAGUAUAGUUUUCUCACCAGGACGCUGACCCUGUAAGGAACUUCAGAAAUCAUGUGACUGGACCCUUUUACUUUCCAGAUGGGAAAAGUGAGGCCUAGAGAAGAGAAAUUGCUUGCCUAAUGAUACACAACAAUGCGUGGUCUACUUUUAGUGCACCUUUUUGCGUAAAAGGGAAAUGGUUGCAUCAAACCAGUAGUUGUUGGUACUCCAGAGAAAAGCCAAAGUUAUGGUUGUUAUAACAACACCCUUUAAGUCAGAGAACCAAUUCCUUAUGGAUUUAAAUAGGUUUGGUUAUUAAGCAAAGCCAGGGAUCCCAGUAGUAGGUAUGCUGAAUAGUGCAAUUAUCUCUGGGGAUCAGCUUUCUUUAGUGUUUGCUGAACGGUUCACUUUACUCUUGUGCUGGGUUCCUCCAUGUCUCUGUCUUGUGCUUCCCCAUUUAGGGGCUGCUUUGUAUGAAAUCAUAAGGCAAGAGGCAGUGAGAAGACAGAAGAGAGAGGCGCCACUUAGCUGUUCAUGCUACUUAACCUCUUGGGCUCCAGUUUCCUUCUUUGUACAGUGAGGGUUCUCCUUGCCCAGUCUCUGCACAGGCUGUUCCAGCGGAGCGGAAGAUGCUCAGGCCAUAGGAGGGGUUUGGGGUCAUCUUCCUGUCUCUAGUAUUACUUUAAAACCAGCAGGCUGGGCCAGGUGUGGUGGCUCACUCCAGUAAUCACAGCACUUCAGGAGGCCGAGGAGGGAAGAGUUCGAAUUCCUUGAGCUCAGGAGUUUGAGACCAGCCUGAGCAACAUAGUGAGACUACCUCCCCCACCGCCAUCUCUAC
rnacentral:lncRNA from 1 species